UACGAGGGGGGCAAGCGUUGUUCGGAAUUAUUGGGCGUAAAGGGCGCGUAGGCGGUGCGGUAAGUCACCUGUGAAAACUCUGGGCUCAACUCAGAGCCUGCAGGCGAAACUGCCGUGCUGGAGUGUGGGAGAGGUGCGUGGAAUUCCUGGUGUAGCGGUGAAAUGCGUAGAUAUCAGGAGGAACACCUGUGGCGAAAGCGGCUCACUGGACCACAACUGACGCUGAUGCACGAAAGCUAGGGGAGCAAACAGG
rnacentral:rRNA from 1 species